rnacentral:rRNA from 1 species
AGCAGCCGCGGUAAUUCCAGCUCCAAUAGCGUAUAUUAAAGUUGUUGCAGUUAAAAAGCUCGUAGUUGAAUUUCGGGAUUGACGUGAUGGUCGUGCCUUACGGGGUAUGAACUGUUGCAGUCAAUUUCUCACCUUCUGGAGAAAUAUGAUGUCCUUAAUUGGGUGUCAUAUGGAACCAGAACUUUUACCUUGAAAAAAUUAGAGUGUUUAAAGCAGGCUUAUUGCUCGAAUACAUUAGCAUGGAAUAAUAAAAUAGGACGGCAUGGUUCUAUUUUGUUGGUUUCUAGGAUCACCGUAAUGAUUAAUAGGGAUAGUUGGGGGCAUUAGUAUUCAAUUGUCAGAGGUGAAAUUCUUGGAUUUAUUGAAGACUAACUACUGCGAAAGCAUUUGCCAAGGAUGUUUUCAUUAAUCAAGAACGAAAGUUAGGGGAUCGAAGACGAUCAGAUACCGUUGUAGUCUUAACCAUAAACUAUGCCGACUAGGGAUCGGAUGAUGUUAAUUUUUAAUGACUC